rnacentral:lncRNA from 1 species
CUGCAAGUGACUGUCCUGGGCAGCUGAAGGAGGCCUAACCUGGGGGACAUGCAUACUAUGGUUGAGAAAGGAGGUGACAGAACCAACAUGGGCUGAAGUGAAGCAUUAGGGAGGAAGACAGAGCUGUCAGAAGCCACACAUGUGAGGGAGCAGUUAAGGAACAAAGUGUGAGAAAGGAAAGGGUAAGAGGUUUGGGAUAAGACUAUGACAGUGAUGGGUAUUAGGACUGGAUUUGGUUUUGUGAUCUGUGGCUUGAAGUACAGCCAAUUAGAACCCUAUGACAAUUGCCUCAUAAAUUGAUGAUAAAGUUCUGAAGAGAAAGAUCACUAGGCCAGAGUUACCCUGGUAAUAACAUUUGCAGGCACACAAUGGGAUUGAAUCUACAGGACGUAUUCUCCCACCAAGCUGCGUACCCCUGAAGGCACUGUGCUGGGGAGCCACUUGGACACCCUUAGAUUAAUAUGAAUGUGGGCAUACACAGUCCAACAGUUGCCCCUUUU